ACUAUCAUUAACUGAAUCCAUAGGUUAAUGAGGCGAACCGGGGGAACUGAAACAUCUAAGUACCCCGAGGAAAAGAAAUCAACCGAGAUUCCCCCAGUAGCGGCGAGCGAACGGGGAGGAGCCCAGAGCCUGAAUCAGCAUGUGUGUUAGUGGAAGCGUCUGGAAAGGCGCGCGAUACAGGGUGACAGCCCCGUACACAAAAGCGCAUGUGCUGUGAGCUCGAUGAGUAGGGCGGGACACGUGGUAUCCUGUCUGAAUAUGGGGGGACCAUCCUCCAAGGCUAAAUACUCCUGACUGACCGAUAGUGAACCAGUACCGUGAGGGAAAGGCGAAAAGAACCCCGGCGAGGGGAGUGAAAAAGAACCUGAAACCGUGUACGUACAAGCAGUGGGAGCACCCUUCGGGGUGUGACUGCGUACCUUUUGUAUAAUGGGUCAGCGACUUAUAUUCUGUAGCAAGGUUAACCGUAUAGGGGAGCCGGAGGGAAACCGAGUCUUAAUUGGGCGUUAAGUUGCAGGGUAUAGACCCGAAACCCGGUGAUCUAGCCAUGGGCAGGUUGAAGGUUGGGUAACACUAACUGGAGGACCGAACCGACUAAUGUUGAAAAAUUAGCGGAUGACCUGUGGCUGGGGGUGAAAGGCCAAUCAAACCGGGAGAUAGCUGGUUCUCCCCGAAAGCUAUUUAGGUAGCGCCUCGUGAAUUCAUCUCCGGGGGUAGAGCACUGUUUCGGCUAGGGGGCCAUCCCGGCUUACCAACCCGAUGCAAACUGCGAAUACCGGAGAAUGUUAUCACGGGAGACACACGGCGGGUGCUAACGUCCGUCGUGAAGAGGGAAACAACCCAGACCGCCAGCUAAGGUCCCAAAGUCAUGGUUAAGUGGGAAACGAUGUGGGAAGGCCCAGACAGCCAGGAUGUUGGCUUAGAAGCAGCCAUCAUUUAAAGAAAGCGUAAUAGCUCACUGGUCGAGUCGGCCUGCGCGGAAGAUGUAACGGGGCUAAACCAUGCACCGAAGCUGCGGCAGCGAACGUAUCACCCAAGACAACUUUACGGAGUUGACGAUUGACGGAGCGAAGCGACGUCAAAGCGUUCAUUAAAGUCGAGUUGGCUUAGGGAUACGUUCGUUGGGUAGGGGAGCGUUCUGUAAGCCUGUGAAGGUGUGUCGUGAGGCAUGCUGGAGGUAUCAGAAGUGCGAAUGCUGACAUAAGUAACGAUAAAGCGGGUGAAAAGCCCGCUCGCCGGAAGACCAAGGGUUCCUGUCCAACGUUAAUCGGGGCAGGGUGAGUCGACCCCUAAGGCGAGGCCGAAAGGCGUAGUCGAUGGGAAACGGGUUAAUAUUCCCGUACUUGGUGUUACUGCGAAGGGGGGACGGAGAAGGCUAUGUUGGCCGGGCGACGGUUGUCCCGGUUUAAGCGUGUAGGUGUGUGUUCCAGGUAAAUCCGGUUCACUUUAACACUGAGGCGUGACGACGAGGCACUACGGUGCUGAAGCAACAAAUGCCCUGCUUCCAGGAAAAGCCUCUAAGCAUCAGGUAACACGAAAUCGUACCCCAAACCGACACAGGUGGUCAGGUAGAGAAUACCAAGGCGCUUGAGAGAACUCGGGUGAAGGAACUAGGCAAAAUGGUGCCGUAACUUCGGGAGAAGGCACGCUGACACGUAGGUGAAGUGAUUUACUCAUGGAGCUGAAGUCAGUCGAAGAUACCAGCUGGCUGCAACUGUUUAUUAAAAACACAGCACUGUGCAAACACGAAAGUGGACGUAUACGGUGUGACGCCUGCCCGGUGCCGGAAGGUUAAUUGAUGGGGUCAGCGUAAGCGAAGCUCCUGAUCGAAGCCCCGGUAAACGGCGGCCGUAACUAUAACGGUCCUAAGGUAGCGAAAUUCCUUGUCGGGUAAGUUCCGACCUGCACGAAUGGCGUAAUGAUGGCCAGGCUGUCUCCACCCGAGACUCAGUGAAAUUGAACUCGCUGUGAAGAUGCAGUGUACCCGCGGCAAGACGGAAAGACCCCGUGAACCUUUACUAUAGCUUGACACUGAACAUUGAGCCUUGAUGUGUAGGAUAGGUGGGAGGCUUUGAAGUGUGGACGCCAGUCUGCAUGGAGCCGACCUUGAAAUACCACCCUUUAAUGUUUGAUGUUCUAACGUGGACCCGUAAUCCGGGUUGCGGACAGUGUCUGGUGGGUAGUUUGACUGGGGCGGUCUCCUCCUAAAGAGUAACGGAGGAGCACGAAGGUUGGCUAAUCCUGGUCGGACAUCAGGAGGUUAGUGCAAUGGCAUAAGCCAGCUUGACUGCGAGCGUGACGGCGCGAGCAGGUGCGAAAGCAGGUCAUAGUGAUCCGGUGGUUCUGAAUGGAAGGGCCAUCGCUCAACGGAUAAAAGGUACUCCGGGGAUAACAGGCUGAUACCGCCCAAGAGUUCAUAUCGACGGCGGUGUUUGGCACCUCGAUGUCGGCUCAUCACAUCCUGGGGCUGAAGUAGGUCCCAAGGGUAUGGCUGUUCGCCAUUUAAAGUGGUACGCGAGCUGGGUUUAGAACGUCGUGAGACAGUUCGGUCCCUAUCUGCCGUGGGCGCUGGAGAACUGAGGGGGGCUGCUCCUAGUACGAGAGGACCGGAGUGGACGCAUCACUGGUGUUCGGGUUGUCAUGCCAAUGGCACUGCCCGGUAGCUAAAUGCGGAAGAGAUAAGUGCUGAAAGCAUCUAAGCACGAAACUUGCCCCGA
rnacentral:rRNA from 1 species